UACAGAGGGUGCAAGCGUUAAUCGGAAUUACUGGGCGUAAAGCGUGCGUAGACGGUUACAUAAGUCGGGUGUGAAAGCCCCGGGCUCAACCUGGGAAUUGCAUUCGAGACUGCGUAGCUAGGGUGCGGAAGAGGGAAGCGGAAUUCCGGUGUAGCGGUGAAAUGCGUAGAUAUCGGAAGGAACACCAGUGGCGAAAGCGGCUCCUGGUCCAGCACCGACGUCAGGCACGAAGCGUGG
rnacentral:rRNA from 1 species